GGCCUCAGAUGGAUUUCUUCUGAAGGAGAUUCAAACAACCAGCGUUUGACAGACAUUGAAGUAUAUAAAUGAAGCUAGGAGCAGGUUGUGCGCUUUGGGACACAGGUGAUAGUUUCUCCACAAGCUGAUUGGAUGGUAUUACUGGAUUUCAGUGAGAGGCGUCAUCUUUCUCUAGUUCCUCAUGCUUCUGCGAGGGUCGGUCUUAGAGUUCUGGCUUUGACUGGAUGGAAAGAAGUUGCUCCAGUGGCACAGGAAGCCUGAACCCCUUUGACACUCACCGCUCGAUGACAGAUCCUCCCGGAGGACUCGACAGCUGCAAACAAAUGCAUUGUUCUUCUUGUCAACCCGCCGCUGAAAGGUGAUCCGGAGCUGUGCAGCGAUUGGCCUCAUUUGUGAGUGUUAGCAAGCGCGGGGCUGAAAGCUUGUUACCCUAGAAAGGGAAAGCUGAGAACAAGUUCUUCAAAUCAGGCUAAAGCAUCAGGGAGCUGUCAGCGGGGCUCCGAGGGGAGGAAGGCCCUGCCCCCAGCUGGGGAUCAAGCUCUUGUUCCACCCUACCUCGCCCCAGCUCAUCUCUGGAAAGCAAGAGUCACAAAGGUGUGCUGGGUGAGGAACCGGCAUCUCAGCUGGCUUCCAUCUAAGCACUGAAUCACAGUGGAGGGAGAAGGCCUGUUCAGGAGUUCUUUAAUCACGCACCCUUAUGGAAGAACAGGUCCCCCUGAAUCAAGGUGGGACC
rnacentral:lncRNA from 1 species